rnacentral:rRNA from 1 species
UAGGCGAUGGAUAACAGGUUGAUAUUCCUGUACCACCUAUAAUCGUUUUAAUCGAUGGGGGGACGCAGUAGGAUAGGCGAAGCGUGCGAUUGGAUUGCACGUCUAAGCAGUAAGGCUGAGUAUUAGGCAAAUCCGGUACUCAUUAAGGCUGAGCUGUGAUGGGGAGAAGACAUUGUGUCUUCGAGUCGUUGAUUUCACACUGCCGAGAAAAGCCUCUAGAUAGAAAAUAGGUGCCCGUACCGCAAACCGACACAGGUAGUCAAGAUGAG